rnacentral:rRNA from 1 species
GGUUGUGCCCUUGAGGCGUGGCUUCCGGAGCUAACGCGUUAAGUCGACCGCCUGGGGAGUACGGCCGCAAGGUUAAAACUCAAAUGAAUUGACGGGGGCCCGCACAAGCGGUGGAGCAUGUGGUUUAAUUCGAUGCAACGCGAAGAACCUUACCUGGUCUUGACAUCCACAGAACUUUCCAGAGAUGGAUUGGUGCCUUCGGGAACUGUGAGACAGGUGCUGCAUGGCUGUCGUCAGCUCGUGUUGUGAAAUGUUGGGUUAAGUCCCGCAACGAGCGCAACCCUUAUCCUUUGUUGCCAGCGGUCCGGCCGGGAACUCAAAGGAGACUGCCAGUGAUAAACUGGAGGAAGGUGGGGAUGACGUCAAGUCAUCAUGGCCCUUACGACCAGGGCUACACACGUGCUACAAUGGCGCAUACAAAGAGAAGCGACCUCGCGAGAGCAAGCGGACCUCAUAAAGUGCGUCGUAGUCCGGAUUGGAGUCUGCAACUCGACUCCAUGAAGUCGGAAUCGCUAGUAAUCGUGGAUCAGAAUGCCACGGUGAAUACGUUCCCGGGCCUUGUACACACCGCCCGUCACACCAUGGGAGUGGGUUGCAAAAGAAGUAGGUAGCUUAACCUUCGGGAGGGCGCUUACCACUUUGUGAUUCAUGACUGGGGUGAAGUCGUAACAAGGUAACCGUAGGGGAACCUGCGGUUGGAUCACCUCCUUACCUUAAAGAAGC